CCUACGGGAGGCUGCAGUGGGGAAUAUUGGACAAUGGGCGAAAGCCUGAUCCAGCCAUGCCGCUUGUGUGAAGAAGGCCUUCGGGUUGUAAAGCACUUUCAGUGGGGAAGAAAGCCUUGGGGCUAAUACCCUCGAGGAAGGACAUCACCCACAGAAGAAGCACCGGCUAACUCCGUGCCAGCAGCCGCGGUAAUACGGAGGGUGCGAGCGUUAAUCGGAAUUACUGGGCGUAAAGCGCGCGUAGGCGGUCUGAUAAGCCGGUUGUGAAAGCCCCGGGCUCAACCUGGGAACGGCAUCCGGAACUGUCAGGCUAGAGUGCAGGAGAGGAAGGUAGAAUUCCCGGUGUAGCGGUGAAAUGCGUAGAGAGCGGGAGGAAUACCAGUGGCGAAGGCGGCCUUCUGGACUGACACUGACGCUGAGGUGCGAAAGCGUGGGUAGCAAACAGGAUUAGAUACCCUGGUAGUC
rnacentral:rRNA from 1 species